rnacentral:tRNA from 1 species
GUGGACGUGGCGAAACUGGUAGACGCAGCGGACUUAAAAUCCGCUUCCCCCCGGGAGUGCGGGUUCAAGUCCCGCCGUCCGCACCA